rnacentral:misc_RNA from 1 species
GUGAAUCAUCAAAUUUUUGAACGCAAAUUGCACUUUUUGGUAUUAUGGAAAGUAUGCAUGUCUGAGUGUCAGUCAUUUUAUAAUCGGUGUUGUAGCUGCCUUUCGUAGUGACGCGUCGGAAUUGGAUCGUCUUACCUUAGGUAACGUUACUUAAAAUUUUUGCAUGAUUUUCGACCGUAUUUCAAUCGCAUAUGUACGUUUAAGAUAUUUAA